GGCCGUGGUCCAAAGGAAAGACACCUGUUUGCCAAGCAGGGGAUGUGGGUUCGAGUCCCACCGGCC
rnacentral:tRNA from 1 species